rnacentral:rRNA from 1 species
AAGCCAUGCAAGUUGAAUGGGAUACCUAAAUUUUCCAUAGCAAACUGCUCAGUAACACAUGAUCAACUUGCCCUAUGGAGAAAAAUAACCUCGGGAAACUGAGGAUAAUAUUUCAUAGUUGAAUAGGCUUGGAAAAGUUUUUCAAUGAAAAGGAAAAGAUAAAUGGUUCUUUUCUGCCAUAGGAUAGGAUCGUGGUCGAUUAUGGUAGUUGGUGAGGUAAUGGCUCACCAAGCCGAUAAUCGAUAGGGGCCGUGAGAGCGGGAGCCCCGAGAUGGGUACUGAGACACCGACCCAGACCUUACGAGGUGCAGCAGGCGCGAGACCUCCGCAAUACACGAAAGUGUGACGGGGUUACCCAAAGUGUUCAUUUUUGAACUGUGGUAGGUGAGUAAUGUCCCCUACUANAAAGGAGAGGGCAAGGCUGGUGCCAGCCGCCGCGGUAAAACCAGCUCUUCAAGUGGUCGGGAUGAUUAUUGGGCUUAAAGUGUCCGUAGCCGGUUUAGUAAGUUCCUGGUAAAAUC